AUUGAACGCUGGCGGCAUGCCUUACACAUGCAAGUCGAACGGUAGAGUAGCAAUACUUGAGAGUGGCGAACGGGUGAGUAAUAUAUCGGGAACGUGCCCAGUCGUGGGGGGAUAACGUAGAGAAAUUUACGCUAAUACCGCAUACGAUCUAAGGAUGAAAGCGGGGGAUUCGCAAGAACCUCGCGCGAUUGGAGCGGCUGAUAUCAGAUUAGGUUGUUGGUGAGGUAAAAGCUCACCAAGCCGACGAUCUGUAGCUGGUUUGAGAGAACGACCAGCCACACUGGGACUGAGACACGGCCCAGACUCCUACGGGAGGCAGCAGUGGGGGAAUUUUUGGGACAAUGGGCGAAAGCCUGAUCCAGCAAUGCCGCGUGCAGGAAGAA
rnacentral:rRNA from 1 species